GGUGCGGGGCGGGGUUCCGGCGCAGUGGCGCCCGCCCAGCCCCGGGGGCAGGGAGAGCCUAGAUUACGGAAGUACCGCGAGCGAGGAGCGCGGAAUCGGGGAGCGUCCGGAGCUAGCUGGAUCCUCUAGGCAGUAAAUUUUGUUGCUGCUCACUGUUUGGGUCCGCACUGCCUUUAAAUCGCGGAGGUCUGCAGCUUCACUCCUGAAGCCAGCGACACCACAAACCCACCGGUAGGAGUAAACAACUCCGGACAAACUCUGGAUGCGCCGCCUUAAAGAACUGUAACGCUCACUGCGAGGGUCUGCGGCUUCAUUCUUGAUGUCAGUGAGACCAAGGAAGGAACAAACUCCGGACGCGCCGACUUUAAGAACUGUAGCACUCACCACGAGGGUCCAGGCGGCUUCGUUUUUGAAGUCAGUGAGACCAAGAACCCACAAAUUACAGACACAGCACUAGGAUGGUGAUGGGAAUCUUUGCAAAUUGUAUCUUCUGUUUGAAAGUGAAGUACUUACCUCAGCAGCAGAAGAAAAAGCUACAAACUGACAUUAAGGAAAAUGGCGGAAAGUUUUCCUUUUCGUUAAAUCCUCAGUGCACACAUAUAAUCUUAGAUAAUGCUGAUGUUCUGAGUCAGUACCAACUGAAUUCUAUCCAAAAGAACCACGUUCAUAUUGCAAACCCAGAUUUUAUAUGGAAAUCUAUCAGAGAAAAGAGACUCUUGGAUGUAAAGAAUUAUGAUCCUUAUAAGCCCCUGGACAUCACACCACCUCCUGAUCAGAAGGCGAGCAGUCCUGAAGUGAAAACAGAAGGUCUAUGCCCGGACAGUGCCACAGAGGAGGAAGACACUGUGGAACUCACUGAGUUUGGUAUGCAGAAUGUUGAAAUUCCUCAUCUUCCUCAAGAUUUUGAAGUUGCAAAAUAUAACACCUUGGAGAAAGUGGGAAUGGAGGGAGGCCAGGAAGCUGUGGUGGUGGAGCUUCAGUGUUCGCGGGACUCCAGGGACUGUCCUUUCCUGAUAUCCUCACACUUCCUCCUGGAUGAUGGCAUGGAGACUAGAAGACAGUUUGCUAUAAAGAAAACCUCUGAAGAUGCAAGUGAAUACUACGAAAAUUACAUUGAAGAACUGAAGAAACAAGGAUUUCUACUAAGAGAACAUUUCACACCUGAAGCAACCCAAUUAGCAUCUGAACAAUUGCAAGCAUUGCUUUUGGAGGAAGUCAUGAAUUCAAGCACUCUGAGCCAAGAGGUGAGCGAUUUAGUAGAGAUGAUUUGGGCAGAGGCCCUGGGCCACCUGGAACACAUGCUUCUCAAGCCAGUGAACAGGAUUAGCCUCAACGAUGUGAGCAAGGCAGAGGGGAUUCUCCUUCUAGUAAAGGCAGCACUGAAAAAUGGAGAAACAGCAGAGCAAUUGCAAAAGAUGAUGACAGAGUUUUACAGACUGAUACCUCACAAAGGCACAAUGCCCGAAGAAGUGAACCUGGGACUAUUGGCUAAGAAAGCAGACCUCUGCCAGCUAAUAAGAGACAUGGUUAAUGUCUGUGAAACUAAUUUGUCCAAACCCAACCCACCAUCCCUGGCCAAAUACCGAGCUUUGAGAUGCAAAAUUGAGCAUGUUGAACAGAAUACUGAAGAAUUUCUCAGGGUUAGAAAAGAGGUUUUGCAGAAUCAUCACAGUAAGAGCCCAGUGGAUGUCUUGCAGAUAUUUAGAGUUGGCAGAGUGAAUGAAACCACAGAGUUUUUGAGCAAACUUGGUAAUGUGAGGCCCUUGUUGCAUGGUUCUCCUGUACGAAACAUCGUGGGAAUCUUGUGUCGAGGGUUGCUUUUACCCAAAGUAGUGGAAGAUCGUGGUGUGCAAAGAACAGACGUCGGAAACCUUGGAAGUGGGAUUUAUUUCAGUGAUUCACUCAGUACAAGUAUCAAGUACUCACACCCGGGAGAGACAGAUGGCACCAGACUCCUGCUCAUUUGUGACGUAGCCCUCGGAAAGUGUAUGGACUUACACGAGAAGAACUUUUCCUUAACUGAAGCACCACCAGGCUACGACAGUGUGCAUGGAGUUUCACAAACAGCCUCUGUCACCACAGACUUUGAGGAUGAUGAAUUUGUUGUCUAUAAAACCAAUCAGGUUAAAAUGAAAUAUAUUGUUAAAUUUUCCAUGCCUGGAGAUCAGAUAAAGGACUUUCAUCCUAGUGAUCAUACUGAAUUAGAGGAAUACAGACCUGAGUUUUCAAAUUUUUCAAAGGUUGAAGAUUACCAGUUACCAGAUGCCAAAACUUCCAGCAGCACCAAGGCCGGCCUCCAGGAUGCCUCUGGGAACUUGGUUCCUCUGGAGGAUGUCCACAUCAAGGGGAGAAUCAUAGACACUGUAGCCCAGGUCAUUGUUUUUCAGACAUACACAAAUAAAAGUCACAUGCCCAUUGAGGCAAAAUAUGUCUUUCCUUUGGAUGACAAGGCCGCUGUGUGUGGCUUCGAAGCCUUCAUCAAUGGGAAGCACAUAGUUGGAGAGAUUAAAGAGAAGGAAGAAGCCCAGCAAGAGUACCGAGAAGCCGUGACCCAGGGCCAUGGCGCUUACCUGAUGAGUCAGGAUGCUCCGGACGUUUUUACUGUAAGUGUUGGAAACUUACCCCCUAAGGCUAAGGUUCUUAUAAAAAUUACCUACAUCACAGAACUCAGCAUCCUGGGCACUGUUGGUGUCUUUUUCAUGCCCGCCACCGUAGCACCCUGGCAACAGGACAAGGCUUUGAAUGAAAACCUUCAGGAUACAGUAGAGAAGAUUUGUAUAAAAGAAAUAGGAACAAAGCAAAGCUUUUCUUUGACUAUGUCUAUUGAGAUGCCGUACGUGAUUGAAUUCAUUUUUAGUGAUACACAUGAACUGAAACAAAAGCGCACAGACUGCAAAGCUGUCAUUAGCACCAUGGAAGGCAGCUCCUUAGACAGCAGUGGAUUUUCUCUCCACAUCGGUUUGUCUGCUGCCUAUCUCCCAAGAAUGUGGGUUGAAAAACAUCCAGAAAAAGAAAGCGAGGCUUGCAUGCUUGUCUUUCAACCCGAUCUCAAUGUCGACCUCCCUGACCUGGCCAAUGAGAGCGAAGUGAUUAUUUGUCUUGACUGCUCCAGUUCCAUGGAGGGUGUGACAUUCUUGCAAGCCAAGCAAAUCGCCUUGCAUGUGCUGUCCUUGGUGGGUGAGAAGCAGAAAGUAAAUAUUAUCCAGUUCGGCACAGGUUACAAGGAGCUAUUUUCGUAUCCUAAGCAUAUGACAAGCAAUACCGCGGCAGCAGAGUUCAUCAUGUCUGCCACACCUACCAUGGGGAACACAGACUUCUGGAAAACACUCCGAUAUCUUAGCUUAUUGUACCCUGCUCGAGGGUCACGGAACAUCCUCCUGGUGUCUGAUGGGCACCUCCAGGAUGAGAGCCUGACAUUACAGCUCGUGAAGAGGAGCCGCCCCCACACCAGGUUAUUCGCCUGCGGUAUCGGUUCUACAGCAAAUCGUCACAUCUUAAGGAUUUUGUCCCAGUGUGGUGCCGGAGUAUUUGAAUAUUUUAAUGCAAAAUCCAAGCAUAGUUGGAGAAAACAGAUAGAAGACCAAAUGACCAGGCUAUGUUCUCCGAGUUGCCACUCUGUCUCCGUCAAAUGGCAGCAACUCAAUCCAGAUGCGCCCGAGGCCCUGCAGGCCCCAGCCCAGGUGCCGUCCUUGUUUCGCAAUGAUCGACUCCUUGUCUAUGGAUUCAUUCCUCACUGCACACAGGCAACUCUGUGUGCACUAAUUCAAGAGAAAGAAUUUUGUACAAUGGUGUCGACUACUGAGCUUCAGAAGACAACUGGAACUAUGAUCCACAAGCUGGCAGCCCGAGCUCUAAUCAGAGAUUAUGAAGAUGGCAUUCUUCACGAAAAUGAAACCAGUCAUGAGAUGAAAAAACAAACCUUGAAAUCUCUGAUUAUUAAACUCAGUAAAGAAAACUCUCUCAUAACACAAUUUACAAGCUUUGUGGCAGUUGAGAAAAGGGAUGAGAAUGAAUCGCCUUUCCCUGAUAUUCCAAAAGUUUCUGAACUUAUUGCCAAAGAAGAUGUAGACUUCCUGCCCUACAUGAGCUGGCAGGGGGAGCCCCAAGAAGCCGUCAGGAACCAGAGACUUCACAAUGUAUGAAUGGAGCUGUAUAGUACAAAAAGAGAACACCUCUGGCUGUGCUUCUAUCGUGGGCAAAUAGAUUGUCAUCCAGGAAGCUAAAGUCAUUUAGUCUCUUUUAGCAUCCUCUGAGUGGCCAGAAUUACGUUUAUCCAAACGAAAACGUAGGAAAAUUCCAUUUUCCAAAAGAAAAAUGGAAUUAUCUCAGCCAGAAGUUUCUGAAGAUUUUGAAGAGGAUGCCUUAGGUGUACUACCAGCUUUCACAUCAAAUUUGGAACGUGGAGGUGUGGAAAAGCUAUUGGAUUUAAGUUGGACAGAGUCAUGUAAACCAACAGCAACUGAACCACUAUUUAAGAAAGUCAGUCCAUGGGAAACAUCUACUUCUAGCUUUUUUCCUAUUUUGGCUCCGGCCGUUGGUUCCUAUCUUCCCCCGACUGCCCGCGCUCACAGUCCUGCUUCCUUGUCUUUUGCCUCAUAUCGUCAGGUAGCUAGUUUCGGUUCAGCUGCUCCUCCCAGACAGUUUGAUGCAUCUCAAUUCAGCCAAGGCCCUGUGCCUGGCAGUUGUGCUGACUGGAUCCCACAGUCGGCGUCUUGUCCCACAGGACCUCCCCAGAACCCACCUUCUGCACCCUAUUGUGGCAUUGUUUUUUCAGGGAGCUCAUUAAGCUCUGCACAGUCUGCUCCACCGCAACCUGCUGGAGGCCAUAUGACCAGGCCUUCUGCUGGCACCUUCCCUGAGCUGGAUUCUCCCCAGCUUCAUUUCUCUGUUCCUACAGACCCUGAUCCCAUUAGAGGUUUUGGGUCUUAUCAUCCCUCUGCUUCUUCUCCUUUUCAUUUUCAACCUUCCGCAGCCUCUUUGACUGCCAACCUUAGGCUGCCAAUGGCCUCUGCCUUACCUGAGGCUCUUUGCAGUCAGUCCCGGACUACCCCACUAGAUCUCUGUCUUCUAGAAGAAUCAGUAGGCAGUCUCGAAGGAAGUCGAUGUCCUGUCUUUGCUUUUCAAAGUUCUGACACAGAAAGUGAUGAGCUAUCAGAAGUACUUCAAGACAGCUGCUUUUUACAAAUAAAAUGUGAUACAAAAGAUGACAGUAUCCUGUGCUUUCUGGAAGUAAAAGAAGAGGAUGAAAUAGUGUGCACACAACACUGGCAGGAUGCUGUGCCUUGGACAGAACUCCUCAGUCUACAGACAGAGGAUGGCUUCUGGAAACUUACACCAGAACUGGGACUUAUAUUAAAUCUUAAUACAAAUGGUUUGCACAGCUUUCUUAAACAAAAAGGCAUUCAAUCUCUAGGUGUAAAAGGAAGAGAACGUCUCCUGGACAUAAUUGCCACAAUGCUGGUACUACAGUUUAUUCGCACCAGGUUGGAAAAAGAGGGAAUAGUGUUCAAAUCACUGAUGAAAAUGGAUGACCCUUCUAUUUCCAGGAAUAUUCCCUGGGCUUUUGAGGCAAUAAAGCAAGCAAGUGAAUGGGUAAGAAGAACUGAAGGACAGUACCCAUCUAUCUGCCCACGGCUUGAACUGGGGAAAGACUGGGACUCUGCCACCAAGCAGUUGCUGGGACUCCAGCCCAUAAGCACUGUGUCCCCUCUUCAUAGAGUCCUCCAUUACAGUCAAGGCUAAGUCAAAUGAAACUGAAUUUUAAACUUUUUGCAUGCUUCUAUGUAGAAAAUAAUAAAAUGAUAAUAGAUACUUAUAAUGAAACUUCAUUAAGGUUUCAUUCAGUGUAGCAAUUACUGUCUUUAAAAAUUAAGUGGAAGAAGAAAUACUUUAAUCAACUAACAAGCAAUAAUAAAAUGAAACUUAAAAUA